UACAGAGGUCUCAAGCGUUGUUCGGAUUCAUUGGGCGUAAAGGGCGCGUAGGCUGCGGGGCAAGUCGGGUGUGAAAUCUCAGAGCUCAACUCUGAAACUGCACUCGAUACUGCUUUGCUUGAGGACUGGAGAGGAGAUUGGAAUUCACGGUGUAGCAGUGAAAUGCGUAGAUAUCGUGAGGAAGACCAGUGGCGAAGGCGGAGCUCUGGACAGUUCCUGACGCUGAGGCGCGAAGGCCAGGGGAGCAAACGGG
rnacentral:rRNA from 1 species